CCUACGGGAGGCAGCAGUGAGGAAUAGUGGUCAAUGGGCGCAAGCCUGAACCAGCAAAGUAGCGUGAAGGAAGGAGGCCCUAUGGGUGGAAAACUUCUUUUAUAGGGGAAUAAAGUGCAGUAUGUAUACAGCUUUGAGUGUACCUUAUGAAUAAGGAAGGGCUAACGCCGUGCCAGCAGCCGCGGUAAUACGGAGGAUCCGAGCGUUAUCCGGAUUUCUUGGGUUGAAAGGGAGCGUAGGCGGGUUGUUAAGUCAGUUGUGCAAGUUUUCGGCUCCACCGUACAAUUGCAGUUGAUACUGUCAUCCUUGAGUACAGUAGAGGUCGUCGGAAUUCGUUUUGUAGCGGUGAACUGCUUAGAUAUCCCGAAGAACUCCGAUUGCGAAGGCGGCCUGCUGGACUGUACCUGACGCUGCUGCUCGAACGUGUGGGUAUCAAACAGGAUUAGAUACCCCAGUAGUC
rnacentral:rRNA from 1 species